UUCACCUGAGGAGAAAAACAAACAGCAGUUGUUGUGAUUGUCCAUUUGGACACACAGCUUACAAUCAAGUACAAAUGACCAGGUUGCAUUUGGAAGACUAUAGAGGAUCAGGAUUUGUCUUUUCUGGAUUCAUUUUAUGCAUGCCAGUUUUGCCAGAAAGCAACCGGUGGAGAAGGAUUUCACAACAAGUCAAUGAUAAUACUGCUGCUUAAUUUAGGAUGCAAUGUGUAUGAGUGGAAACAUUGACAACUACACAAAAAGUCAGAAAACACUAACAUCUUUUAAUUGUUGCAGACAACAGAACAUAGAGCAUGUCCCAAAAUACAAUCAGGCCCAUGUUUGACUUACAAGCUCUCUUCUUUUACUAUCCUCUGUUGCUUCAUCUGUGAGCUGUGCAAAGACUUCAGUUAGGAACUUUUCAUCCUCCUAUGCCCCCCC